rnacentral:rRNA from 1 species
CGGGUGAGUAACACGUGAAUUACAUGCCCUGUAGAGGGGGAUAGCCCGCCGAAAGGCGGAUUAAUACCCCAUGGUAUCGCAAGAUUAAAGGGGGCUUCGGCUCCCGCUACAGGAUUGGUUCGCGCCCUAUCAGCUUGUUGGCGAGGUAACGGCUCACCAAGGCAAUGACGGGUAACUGGUCUGAGAGGACGAUCAGUCACACUGGAACUGAGACACGGUCCAGACACCUACGGGUGGCAGCAGUCGAGAAUAAUUCACAAUGGGGGCAACCCUGAUGGUGCAACGCCGCGUGGAGGAUGACGGUCUUAGGAUUGUAAACUCCUGUCAUCUGGGAGAAAGACCUGGUCGUUAAUAGCGAACAGGGUUGAUAGUACCAGAAGAGGAAGGGACGGCUAACUUCGUGCCAGCAGCCGCGGUAAUACGAAGGUCCCGAGCGUUGUUCGGAAUCACUGGGCGUAAAGGGAGCGUAGGCGGCGCGGUAAGUCGGAUGUGAAAUCCCG